GACGAACGCUGGCGGCGUGCCUAACACAUGCAAGUCGAACGAGAAAGCAGAGCUUGCUCUGCUUUCUAGUGGCGGACGGGUGAGUAAUGCGUGAGCAACCUGCCUAUCAGUGGGGGAUAACUUCCGGAAACGGAUGCUAAUACCGCAUAUUGUACAUAAUCCGCAUGGAUAAGUGUAUUAAAGGAGCAAUUCGCUGAUAGAUGGGCUCACGUCCGAUUAGUUAGUUGGUGGGGUAAUGGCCUACCAAGACCGCGAUCGGUAGCCGGGCUGAGAGGCUGAACGGCCACAUUGGGACUGAGACACGGCCCAGACUCCUACGGGUGGCAG
rnacentral:rRNA from 1 species